CUAGUACUCCCUCCGUUUCGAAUUACUUGUCUUAGAUUUGUCUAAGACAAGUAAUUUAAUGCUAGAUACAUCCGUAUCUAGAUAAAUCUAAGACAAGUAAUUCGGAAGGGAGGGAGUAGUGG
rnacentral:pre_miRNA from 1 species